GACGAACGCUUGGCGUGAGGUUUACUUCAUGCGCGUUCCAUCAGAACGCUCUGGCUUCUGCCGGGGCAAGUACAGUGGCGGACGGGUGCGUAUCGCGUACAUAACCUGCCCUCAAGGGCGGGACAAUCACUGGAAACCGUGGCUAAUACCGCACGUCUUCUGGACCCCGCAUGGGGACCAGAUGAAAGCUUGGGGUUACCCAGGCGCCUUUGGAUGGGUCUGCGUUGGAUUAGCUUGUUGGUGAGGCAACGGCUCACCUAGGCGACAUAUCCAUAGCUGGUCUGACAGGACGGUCAGCCACACUGGGACUGAGACACGGCCCAGACUCCUACGGGAGGCAGCAGUGGGGAAUCUUGCACAAUGGGGUCACCCCUGAUGCAGCCAUGCCGCGUGGAGGAAGACACCCCUAUGGGGCGUAAACUCCUUUUCUGAACGAAGAAACCCCUGUAGGUUCACGGCACGACGGUAAUUCACGAAUAAGCAACGGCUAACUCCGUGCCAGCAGCCGCGGUAAUACAGAGGGUGCAAGCGUUGUCCGGAAUCACUGGGUGUAAAGGGUGUGUACGCGGGGCAGCAAGUCCGAUGUGAAACCCCAUGGCUUAACCAUGGAGGUGCAUUCUAAACUGUUGCUCUUGAAUCCCGGAGAGGCUGUCAGAAUUCCUGGUGUAGCGGUGAAAUGCGUAUAUAUCACUAGGAACACGCAAUGCGAAAGCAUGGCAUCUGGACUGGUACUGACGCCCAUGCGCGAAAGCGUGCGGAGCAAACACGAUUAUAUACCCUGGUACUCCACGCCGUACACGAUGAACGCUCGCCGUUGCGCCGCUCCACGGGCAGUGACUACGUUAACGCGUUAAGCGUUCCACCUGGAGAGUACGAUUGCAAGGUAGAAACUCAAAGGAAUUGACGGGGGCCAGCACAAGCGGUGGAGCAUGUGGGUCAAUUCGAUGCAACGAGAAGAACCUUACAUAGGCUGGAACGUUAGAGGACCGGUCGUGAAAGGGAGGUUCCCAUUUGGGGCCUCUAGCGAGGUAAUGCAUGGCAGUCGUCAGCUCGUGUGGUGAGAUGUUGGGAUAAGUCCCGCAAGGAGCGUAACCCCUUUUGCUAGUUACCAUCGGGUAGGGCUGGGGAGUUUAGCGAAACUGCAUGAGCAAGCAGUGAGGAAGGUGGGGAUGAUGUGGAGUCAUCAUGGUCCUUACGCGUAGGGCUGCACAUGUGAUACAAUGGCCGGUACAACGGGUAGCCACCUCGCGAGAGGGAGAGAAUCCUAGAAAGCCGGUCACAGUUCGGAUGGGAGUCUGCAACUCGUACAUCCAUGAAGCAGGAAUGAUUAGUAAUAGCGGAUCAGCAAUGCAGCGGUGAAUCCGUUCCUGGGCCUCGUACGCACCAGCCCGUCUAGCCGAGGAAGAUGAGAGCGCCAGAUAGUCCGUGACUCAAAACGGGCCAUGGGUUCUGAUAGAGAGCGGCCGAAGUGUAAGCUCAGUAACGUGGGUGCU
rnacentral:rRNA from 1 species